rnacentral:rRNA from 1 species
UGGGGAAUUUUGGACAAUGGGCGAAAGCCUGAUCCAGCAAUGCCGCGUGUGUGAAGAAGGCCUUCGGGUUGGUUAAAAGCACUUUUGUCCGGAAAGAAAUCCUUGGCUCUAAUACAGUCGGGGGAUGACGGUACCGGAAGAAUAAGCACCGGCUAACUACGUGCCAGCAGCCGCGGUAAUACGUAGGGUGCAAGCGUUAAUCGGAAUUACUGGGCGUAAAGCGUGCGCAGGCGGUUUGCUAAGACCGAUGUGAAAUCCCCGGGCUCAACCUGGGAACUGCAUUUGGUGACUGGCAGGCUAGAGUAUGGCAGAGGGGGGUAGAAUUCCACGUGUAGCAGCCGAAAUGCGUAGAGAUGUGGAGGAAUACCGAUGGCGAAGGCAGCCCCCUGGGCCAAUACUGACGCUCAUGCACGAAAGCGUGGGGAGCAAACAGGAUUAGAUACCCUGGUAGUCCACGCCCUAAACGAUGUCAACUAGUUGUUGGGGAUUCAUUUCCUUAGUAACGUAGCUAACGCGUGAAGUUG